AGAGUUUGAUCCUGGCUCAGGACGAACGCUGGUGGCGGGCCUAACACAUGCAAGUCGAACGAGGCUUUCCGGUGCUUGCACUGGAAAAUCGAGUGGCGAACGGGUGAGUAAUACAUGAGAAACCUGCCUUGGAGACGGGGACAACCUCGGGAAACUGAGGCUAAUACCCGAUAUCCCUGCCGAGUCGCAUGACUUGGCAAGAAAAUACUCAGGUGCUCCAAGAGGGUCUCAUGCCCUAUCAGCUUGUUGGUGAGGUAAAAGCUCACCAAGGCUUAGACGGGUAGCUGGUCUGAGAGGACGAUCGGCCACACUGGGACUGAGACACGGCCCAGACUCCUACGGGAGGCAGCAGUGGGGAAUCUUGCGCAAUGGGCGAAAGCCUGACGCAGCCACGCCACGUGUGGGACGACGGCCCUCGGGUUGUAAACCACUUUCAGCAGGGACGAAAAUGACGGUACCUGCAGAAGAAGCCCCGGCCAACUACGUGCCAGCAGCCGCGGUAACACGUAGGGGGCGAGCGUUGUCCGGAAUUACUGGGCGUAAAGGGCUCGUAGGCGGUUUGGUAAGUCAGAUGUGAAAACUCCAGGCUCAACUUGGAGACGCCAUCUGAUACUGCCAUGACUAGAGUUUGGUAGAGGAGUGCAGAAUUCCCGGUGUAGCGGUGAAAUGCGCAGAUAUCGGGAGGAAUACCAGUCAGCGAAAGGCGGCACUCUGGGCCACAACUGACGCUGAGGAGCGAAAGCGUGGGGAGCGAACAGGAUUAGAUACCCUGGUAGUCUUAGCCGUAAACGAUGGGUACUAGGUGUUGGGGGACAUUGACCCCCUCAGUGCCGUAGCUAACGCAUUAAGUACCCCGCCUGGGGAGUACGGCCGCAAGGCUGAAACUCAAAGGAAUUGACGGGGACCCGCACAAGCAGUGGAGCAUGUUGCUUAAUUCGAUGCAACGCGAAGAACCUUACCAGGGCUUGACAUCCACGGAACUUUCCAGAGAUGGAUUGGUGCCUUCGGGAACCGUGUGACAGGUGCUGCAUGGCUGUCGUCAGCUCGUGUCGUGAGAUGUUGGGUUAAGUCCCGUAACGAGCGCAACCCUUAUCCUUAUUUGCCAGCGGGUCAUGCCGGGAACUCUAAGGAGACUGCCGGUGACAAACCGGAGGAAGGCGGGGACGAGGUCAAGUCAUCAUGGCCCUUAUCGUGGUGGGCUACAAACGUGCUACAAUGGGCGAUACAAAGGGCUGCAAUCCCGCGAGGGGGAGCGAAUCCCAAAAAAACGCUCGUAGUCCGGAUAGGAGUCUGCAACUCGACUCCUUGAAGUCGGAAUCGCUAGUAAUCGCGAAUCAGAAUGUCGCGGUGAAUACGUUCCCGGGCCUUGUACACACCGCCCGU
rnacentral:rRNA from 1 species